rnacentral:rRNA from 1 species
AGCAGCCGCGGUAAUUCCAGCUCCAAUAGCGUAUAUUAAAGUUGUUGCAGUUAAAAAGCUCGUAGUUGAAUUUCGGGAUUGACACAUCGGUCGUGCCUUAAGGGGCAUGAACUGGUGUAGUCAGUUUCUCACCUUCUGGAGAACCGCGAUGUCCUUAAUUGGGUGCCGCGAGGAACCAGGACCUUUACUUUGAAAAAUUAGAGUGUUUAAAGCAGGCAUUUUGCUUGAAUACAUUAGCAUGGAAUAAUAAAAUAGGACGGAUGGUUCUAUUUUGUUGGUUUCUAGGAUCACCGUAAUGAUUAAUAGGGAUAGUUGGGGGCAUUAGUAUUCAAUUGUCAGAGGUGAAAUUCUUGGAUUUAUUGAAGACUAACUACUGCGAAAGCAUUUGCCAAGGAUGUUUUCAUUAAUCAAGAACGAAAGUUAGGGGAUCGAAGACGAUCAGAUACCGUC